GCCCAGGUGCUGAAAUUGGUAGACAGGCCACCUUGAGGGGGUGGUGUCCUACGGGCGUGCGGGUUCGAAUCCCGCUCUGGGCA
rnacentral:tRNA from 1 species